GAACGUACGCUGGCGGCACGCCUAACACAUGCAAGUCGAACGAAGUAGCAAUACUUAGUGGCAGACGGGUGAGUAACAUGUAGGUAUCUGCCCUUUGGCCUGGAAUAACACGAGGAAACUUGUGCUAAUACCGGAUAAGUCUUUACAGAGAAAGCUUUAUGCACCAUUGGAUGAGCCUGCACUUGAUUAGUUUGUUGGUGGGGUAAUGGCCUACCAAGACUGUGAUCAAUAGCUGAUUUGAGAGGAUGAUCAGCCACAUUGGGACUGAGACACGGCCCAAACUCCUACGGGAGGCAGCAGUGGGGAAUCUUGCACAAUGGAGGAAACUCUGAUGCAGCGAUGCCGCGUGAGUGAAGAAGGCCUUUGGGUUGUAAAGCUCUUUCGUCGGGGAAGAAAAUGACUGUACCCGAAUAAGAAGGUCCGGCUAACUUCGUGCCAGCAGCCGCGGUAAUACGAAGGGACCUAGCGUAGUUCGGAAUUACUGGGCUUAAAGAGUUCGUAGGUGGUUGAAAAAGUUAGUGGUGAAAUCCCAGAGCUUAACUCUGGAACUGCCAUUAAAACUUUUUAGCUAGAGUAUGAUAGAGGAAAGCAGAAUUUCUAGUGUAGAGGUGAAAUUCGUAGAUAUUAGAAAGAAUACCAAUUGCGAAGGCAGCUUUCUGGAUCAUUACUGACACUGAGGAACGAAAGCAUGGGUAGCGAAGAGGAUUAGAUACCCUCGUAGUCCAUGCCGUAAACGAUGUGUGUUAGACGUUGGAAAUUUAUUUUCAGUGUCGCAGCGAAAGCGAUAAACACACCGCCUGGGGAGUACGACCGCAAGGUUAAAACUCAAAUGAAUUGACGGGGACCCGCACAAGUAGUGGAGCAUGUGGUUUAAUUCGAAGAUACGCGCAGAACCUUACCAACACUUGACAUGUUCGUCGCGACUCUAAGAGAUUAGAGUUUUCGGUUCGGCCGGACGAAACACAGGUGCUGCAUGGCUGUCGUCAGCUCGUGUCGUGAGAUGUUGGGUUAAGUCCCGCAACGAGCGCAACCCUCACUUUUAGUUGCCAUCAUUAAGUUGGGCACUCUGAAAGAACUGCCAGUGAUAAGCUGGAGGAAGGUGGGGAUGACGUCAAGUCCUCAUGGCCCUUACGUGUUGGGCUACACACGUGCUACAAUGGUAUCUACAACAGGAAGCAAGACUGCGAAGUUAAGCAAAUCCCUAAAAGAUACCUCAGUUCGGAUUGCACUCUGCAACUCGAGUGCAUGAAGCUGGAAUUACUAGUAAUCGUGGAUCAGCGUGCCACGGUGAAUGCGUUCCCGGGUCUUGUACACACCGCCC
rnacentral:rRNA from 1 species